rnacentral:rRNA from 1 species
CCUACGGGGUGCAGCAGUGAGGAAUAUUGGUCCAUGGGCGCGAGCCUGAACCAGCCAAGUCGCGUGAGGGAAGACGGUCCUAUGGAUUGUAAACCUCUUUUGUCGGGGAGCAAAAGACGCCACGCGUGGCGUUCCGAGAGUACCCGAAGAAAAAGCAUCGGCUAACUCCGUGCCAGCAGCCGCGGUAAUACGGAGGAUGCGAGCGUUAUCCGGAUUUAUUGGGUUUAAAGGUUGCGCAGGCGGAAGAUCAAGUCAGCGGUAAAAGUGAGAGGCUCAACCUCUUCGAGCCGUUGAAACUGGUUUUCUUGAGUGAGUGAGAAGUAUGCGGAAUGCGUGGUGUAGCGGUGAAAUGCAUAGAUAUCACGCAGAACUCCGAUUGCGAAGGCAGCAUACCGGCGCUCAACUGACGCUCAUGCACGAAAGUGUGGGUAUCGAACAGGAUUAGAUACCCCUGUAGUC